AAUAUUUUACAAUGGGCGAAAGCCUGAUCCAGCCAUCCCGCGUGUGUGAAGAAGGUCUUCGGAUUGUAAUGCACUUUAAGUUGGGAGGAAGGGUUGUAGGUUAAUACUCUGCAAUUUUGACGUUACCAACAGAAUAAGCACCGGCUAACUUCUUGCCAGCAGCCGCGGUCAUCCGAAGGGUGCAAACGUUAAGCGGAAUUACUGGGCGUAAAGCGCGCGUAGGUGGUUCGUUAAGUUGGAAGUGAAAGCCCCGGGCUUAACCUGGGAAUUGCUUUCAAAACUGACGAGCUAGAGUACGGUAGAGGGUAGUGGAAUUUCCUGUGUAGCGGUGAAAUGCGUAGAUAUAGGAAGGAACAUCAGUGGCGAAGGCGACUACCUGGACUGAUACUGACACUGAGGUGCGAAAGCGUGGGGAGCAAACAGG
rnacentral:rRNA from 1 species